GGCGGGACACGUGGUAUCCUGUCUGAAUAUGGGGGGACCAUCCUCCAAGGCUAAAUACUCCUGACUGACCGAUAGUGAACCAGUACCGUGAGGGAAAGGCGAAAAGAACCCCGGCGAGGGGAGUGAAAAAGAACCUGAAACCGUGUACGUACAAGCAGUGGGAGCACCCUUUGGGGUGUGACUGCGUACCUUUUGUAUAAUGGGUCAGCGACUUAUAUUCUGUAGCAAGGUUAACCGAAUAGGGGAGCCGGAGGGAAACCGAGUCUUAAUUGGGCGUUAAGUUGCAGGGUAUAGACCCGAAACCCGGUGAUCUAGCCAUGGGCAGGUUGAAGGUUGGGUAACACUAACUGGAGGACCGAACCGACUAAUGUUGAAAAAUUAGCGGAUGACCUGUGGCUGGGGGUGAAAGGCCAAUCAAACCGGGAGAUAGCUGGUUCUCCCCGAAAGCUAUUUAGGUAGCGCCUCGUGAAUUCAUCUCCGGGGGUAGAGCACUGUUUCGGCUAGGGGGCCAUCCCGGCUUACCAACCCGAUGCAAACUGCGAAUACCGGAGAAUGUUAUCACGGGAGACACACGGCGGGUGCUAACGUCCGUCGUGAAGAGGGAAACAACCCAGACCGCCAGCUAAGGUCCCAAAGUCAUGGUUAAGUGGGAAACGAUGUGGGAAGGCCCAGACAGCCAGGAUGUUGGCUUAGAAGCAGCCAUCAUUUAAAGAAAGCGUAAUAGCUCACUGGUCGAGUCGGCCUGCGCGGAAGAUGUAACGGGGCUAAACCAUGCACCGAAGCUGCGGCAGCGACACUCAGGUGUUGUUGGGUAGGGGAGCGUUCUGUAAGCCUGCGAAGGUGGCCUGUGAGGGUUGCUGGAGGUAU
rnacentral:rRNA from 1 species